UUUUAAAAAGUUACAAGCUAUUUCUAAUGUGCCCACAGUCUUUGUGCUCGUCAGAUUCAUGACAGACUUCUGCAAUCCAUACACCCAUUCCUCCAGCCCACGCACUUGAGGAACCUGCCUGUACAGAAAGAUCACUAGACAACAGCAUAGUGGAAAUUUCCUCUCCUUUGCUAUUCAACUGGCAGAGUAGCUCACAAGCUCUUAUUUCCAUCUGAAUGGAGGAGAACUCACAUCAGAGCUAGGGCCCUCUCUUGAUAGACAGGAGACACUGGCACUGCAAAGAAAGCACACCCCAUGCAUAGUCUGCUCAAGGCUCCUCCUCACUGUUUCAACAUUAGUAUUCAUUGAGAUUGUGUCAAGGCCAAGGAUGUAUUGGCCUGGUCCUUUACGCCACGCUGAGAUUCUUGUUGGUUUUGUAAGCACAACUAUUAAGUAUCUCGACUACAUCCAAGUUUUGGGAGGAGACGCAGCAUUUUCUGAAGUCAGUAAAUAUGUCCCAUGAGGACUGAAGAAACAUCCUAAUAUUAAGCAUUUAUACAAUGGUUUAAUAUGAGAAAACAUACUCAGAAAAUCCAAAUAUUUUUAUUGGAAGCAACAAGAUUAUGAUAACAUGCUUUCCAGCUCAGAGGAAAGCAAUGGGAAGACUACCUGAAAACAGGAAAACAAACACUGCCUUCACAAGCUUUACUGGAGAACAUUCAUUUAAAAGCUUCAUUUCAGAAAAAUAAAAGGCCCAGAAGCUCUAUCUUGGAACAAAUUUAGCACAAUGACACGCAACGAUCAUUCUUUGGCAGACUAUCUAGAAUGGGGACUCAUAAACUUUUUGGAGUUUUGUUUUUGGUUUUUUUUUUGCUUUCCUUCUUUGAUCCGCAGCUACCCUCUAGAAGUACAAAGGCAAUUCGCGCUCAUUCAUUCUCGAUUUCCUGCGAUGCUGGGGCGGGGGGGGGGCUGUAAGGAAUGGAUGGAGAAGAGCGGCUGCAUUGACAUGCACGCAGGCUGCUACCAACUAGGAGAGAUAAGCGCGGGGCGGGAGCCGUCCCUGCACCUCGGCGGCGGAAGCCCGUCACAGCCGCACCGAAGCGGCCCCCGGAGUCCCCCCACUGCCCGCCCCCCCGUCGGUGGAUCAGGCGGAGGAGGAGCCUGCGGGCCCAAUUUGCUGCAUUUGCGUACUGAGGCGGGAGGCAUCGAACGGAUGGAUACCUGACCGUAUGGGAGUGCCUGUGUGGGAUGAGAGAUGCUGCUCUGCAGGAGCUGUUACUGAAGCACAACUAACUACAUUAGAAAAAUACCAGAAGACAGAAAGAUAAUGUCAAGAUCACGGUCAUUUCAGAACAACAGUUUACUGUUUGGAGCAGUGGCUGUUUCAUGGAUCUCAGAAUAACAAAUUAUCCCUGUGUCCAUCUAGACAACAACUGGAAGAUGUUUGCUAAUACAGCUCACUAAUUACAACUUCCUCCCCUCAAAAGUAAUAAUUUCCAUUAUUGCUUAAUUUAUAAUUCUCAAAUCAAAAACUUCCCCUCUACUUUAGUUCUAAACUAAGGACUAAACAGAUACAUGUAGCUGAUUAAUCCCUCAAUUAAUUAGCCUUGCAUAAAUAUGGUUGGGAAAAAAGGCUGAAGGGGUGCACAGGAUUUAUGCUCUGCUGCUACACAGAAGGUAAUUCCAUCACACAUUUGGUCUUGGGUUUAUUAUCAUAAUAAAACCAAA